CUUAGCUCAAGCAUGAACCAGGGAGGCCGAGCGAUCUUCAGGUCCCUCACCAGUGACCUCGAUGACAUCACCAUGAAACUGAGGGGCGGAGUUGAGCUACAGGUGGUGUUUGGCGACAUCACUAAUGAGACUACAGAUGUUGUGGUGAACACGACCGACUUCAAAACUUUUGACCAGGCUGGCGUCUGCAAACACAUUUUAACCGUAGCUGGACCAGCGGUGGAGGCUCAGCUGAGGGCAGCAAAUGUGAGACGAGGAGAGGUUUUUGCUUCUGGUCCUGGACGGUUCCCUUGCAAAGAUAUUUUCCAUGUGUGCGGACAACAGGAUGCAGGACUUAUUGAAGAACUUGUUGGGAACAUCAUUGAUGGUUGUGAAUCAGAAGGAUACCAAUCUGUUGCAAUUCCUGCCAUCUGUGCUGGUAAGUAUAUUGUAAGACUUUCUAUGUAGGUAAAACUCACACACCUGAAAGUGAUUUCCGUGAUAUUAAUGGUGAUGAAAUGAAACUGUACAGGGGCUGGAAAGUUGGACCCUGGAGUUGUGGCAGAUGCCAUCCUCCGAGGGAUCAAGGUUGAGUCUUCCUCUGGCUCUAUUCAAAGCCUUACCAACAUCCGCCUCGUCCUGAUUAAGAUCAAUGUCUACUUGGCGUUUAAAGAAGAAGCAAUGCAAACGUUCUCCACUGCUGUUAUCCAAAAAGCAUCAUUGCCUCAGGAUCCUCAGGUACAGCAACAACAGCCACCACCCUCUGUAACAACAAACCUGAGCUUGCUCCAUACCAGCUCUGCAAGUCAGCAGUCCGUCUUCCUGUUCCUGGGUCUUAGCAGAAAAGAUGUUCAUGAUGCCAAGGAAAAGCUGAAGAGCCUUUACCAGGCACAGUACUCCACUCAAACCUUCACAAAGGAGGAGCUGACCAACCUCACCCAAGACAAUAUGCAGGAUCUGAUGCACAUGGUGACGACUGAGGGUCUGUACAUGAAAAUGGAUGCAUCUGGCUGUUUAACAGUGAGCGGGCUGAAAGAUGGGGUAAACCAGGCAAGGCACAUUGUAAACGAUGCUGUGCACAGCAACCUCAGGAGGGAGAUGGCAGUCAGGGAGGAGGAGGAUUUGUUCAACCGUGUGACUUGGUGCAUCCAGGGGCACAGGGGAAACUGGGAAAGACUCCCCAAAACGGCCAAUCACCACCUGGAAAAGAAGGAUAUAGCGGCAGGAAUAGUGGACGCACAGGGAAUUACGUGGAAGGUGGAUCUACAGAGGAUGGAGGCCUCAACGUCAACAACUGGACGGCAGAGGAAACUGAAGAGACUGGAGAAUG